UCGGGAAUAUUGCGCAAUGGAGGAAACUCUGACGCAGUGACGCCGCGUGCAGGAAGAAGGUUUUCGGAUUGUAAACUGCUUUAGACAGGGAAGAAACAAGACAGUACCUGUAGAAUAAGCUCCGGCUAACUACGUGCCAGCAGCCGCGGUAAUACGUAGGGAGCAAGCGUUAUCCGGAUUUAUUGGGUGUAAAGGGUGCGUAGACGGGAAGUCAAGUUAGUUGUGAAAUCCCUCGGCUCAACUGAGGAACUGCAACUAAAAUCUAACUUUCUUGAGUGCUGGAGAGGAAAGUGGAAUUCCUAGUGUAGCGGUGAAAUGCGUAGAUAUUAGGAGGAACACCAGUGGCGAAGGCGACUUUCUGGACAGUAACUGACGUUGAGGCACGAAAGUGUGGGGAGCAAAACAGGAUUAGAUACC
rnacentral:rRNA from 1 species